rnacentral:tRNA from 1 species
GGAGGAUUUGCUCAAAUGGUAGAGCGCUCGCUUAGCAUGCAAGAGGUAGCGGGAUCAAUGCCUGCAUCCUCCA